AGACAAGGGGCAUUUCCCCUUGCCACCACGUUAGAAAUAGGAAGGACCUUCCGGGAAGAAGGGUUCCCCUUGCCACCACGUUAGAAAUAGGAAGGACCUUCCGGGAAGAAGGGUUCCCCUUGCCACCACGUUAGAAAUAGGAAGGACCUUCCGGGAAGAAGGGUUCCCCUUGCCACCACGUUAGAAAUAGGAAGGACCUUCCGGGAAGAAGGGUUCCCCUUGCCACCACGUUAGAAAUAGGAAGGACCUUCCGGGAAGAAGGGUUCCCCUUGCCACCACGUUAGAAAUAGGAAGGACCUUCCGGGAAGAAGGGGAAAGGGGCAGAGCUGGGCAAAGCCCCACAGCCUCAGGCAGGAGGCCUGGGUGAGCACUGCUUCUCAGGCCUGGGAGGGAGAGGGUCCUGGUGUGGGGUCCCUGCUGAGUCUGAGGGAGGCAGUGGGGUUUCCCUUUCUGUUUUGUUAGGGUCUUCAAGAAGUCGAGCCCUAACUGCAAGCUCACCGUGUACUUGGGCAAGCGGGACUUC
rnacentral:lncRNA from 1 species